rnacentral:rRNA from 1 species
AUUGAACGCUGGCGGCAGGCCUAACACAUGCAAGUCGAGCGGAUGAAGGGAGCUUGCUCCUGGAUUCAGCGGCGGACGGGUGAGUAAUGCCUAGGAAUCUGCCUGGUAGUGGGGGAUAACGUCCGGAAACGGGCGCUAAUACCGCAUACGUCCUGAGGGAGAAAGUGGGGGAUCUUCGGACCUCACGCUAUCAGAUGAGCCUAGGUCGGAUUAGCUAGUUGGUGGGGUAAAGGCCUACCAAGGCGACGAUCCGUAACUGGUCUGAGAGGAUGAUCAGUCACACUGGAACUGAGACACGGUCCAGACUCCUACGGGAGGCAGCAGUGGGGAAUAUUGGACAAUGGGCGAAAGCCUGAUCCAGCCAUGCCGCGUGUGUGAAGAAGGUCUUCGGAUUGUAAAGCACUUUAAGUUGGGAGGAAGGGCAGUAAGUUAAUACCUUGCUGUUUGGACGUUACCAACAGAAUAAGCACCGGCUAACUUCGU